GAUAGUGACAUACCUCUGUCGAUCCUGGCUCCAUGACGCCCCUCUGUGCCUCCGCCUCUUUGUCCCUCCGUCAGAUAUAACAAGCCCAGAAAAACUGCAACCCGCGACUUUAGGCUAAAACAACUUUAGGAUAAAACGACUUUAGGAUUAGUUCUGUCUUAUUUCAAGUGUACUAAGAUAUUUCCAGUAGAAACUGGACCAAAAGAACUCAACAGUGUUUGGUGUUUUGGCAGUGAAUGAUCAGUGAUAGUUCCUAAAUAGUUCCUUAUUGUCCAAAAUAGUUCCUUAUUGUCCAACGACAAAAUAAGCAUUGCUCCUUUGUUUACGUUUCUGCCGCUGCUGAUACUGAAACUGUGGUCGCUCCCCAAGACGCCUAAGAAAUACAAUGAAAUUACAAAAGAAAAUAGUAACGCACAGUGAUUUGGAUAAGGAACUUUAAUCUCAUUGCGGUAUUUGAAAUGUUAAUGCGUUGGAUUACUUGUUACUGAAAAAAGUGGUCCGAUGCCAAACUGGUCCGCGUUACAAAGUGAUGUGUUACUGACAUCACUGAUCACAAUAUCUAGUGUUCUUAUUUCCCAGUCUUAUGUAUUUAUUUAUUGACAAUUUUGGCUGGAUCUGUCCUCCAUAGAUACAAUCUUUAAAAAUAAAGAUGUUUAGCAAUCUCUUCUCUGUUUAAGGUAUUUUAGAGCCUGCCUGUAUUUAUUAUAGCCGUCAGUCAGAUGUUUUCAGAAAGAUAGUUUGAUGUCCCAUAGAGCUCUGGAAGCCAGCGUUGAAGAAAAUGCAGCACUGGUGAAGAGGGAGAGAUGUGAAGCGCAGAGUGAGAUGUGCAGCCCUGCAGACUGGAUCCGUCAGGAUGACUGGCCCAUCACUCAUCCAGUCUUUGGCUUGAAGAGGACGUAAAGGAAGACACAGACCACCGUGAGGAAGCAGGACGCUGUCACCAUGCCUACAACCAGCCACGUAAAGAGGACGCUGGAUCAGUCAAGGAUCACAGAAACCAAAUAAAACUCACUGCUGACAGUACUGAGGGUGCUGCUGCUGGGCUGACCCGGAUCUGUCGGCGUGGUGACGACAGGCAUGGAGGUAGUGACUGCCGGGUCUGAAUCUGGCAGACAACGCAUCCAGAAUGAGAAACUCAAAUGACAGGGAACAUCUCACUUCUCAGGAGAAGGUUCAUAAAGAAAAUCUGACGGCACUGACCUUCCACGUGGAGCAGGUAGGCUCUGCUGAC